AAAAAUACAGACAAGAGAGAGGUCAUUCUCCAACAGCCUGCAAGAGCAACCUGGAGAGACUUUGACCACUCAGGUCAGCAUAAUACCUGCAGCUGCACUUUCCCUAUAUCU